AUUGAACGCUGGCGGAAUGCUUUACACAUGCAAGUCGAACGGCAGCAUAGGUGCUUGCACCUGAUGGCGAGUGGCGAACGGGUGAGUAAUACAUCGGAACGUGCCCAGUCGUGGGGGAUAACGUAGCGAAAGUUACGCUAAUACCGCAUACGAUCUACGGAUGAAAGCGGGGGACCGUAAGGCCUCGCGCGAUUGGAGCGGCCGAUGUUAGAUUAGGUAGUUGGUGGGGUAAAGGCUCACCAAGCCGACGAUCUGUAGCUGGUCUGAGAGGACGACCAGCCACACUGGAACUGAGACACGGUCCAGACUCCUACGGGAGGCAGCAGUGGGGAAUUUUGGACAAUGGACGCAAGUCUGAUCCAGCCAUUCCGCGUGCAGGACGAAGGCCUUCGGGUUGUAAACUGCUUUUGUACAGAACGAAAAGGUUUCUAUUAAUACUAGGAGCUCAUGACGGUACUGUAAGAAUAAGCACCGGCUAACUACGAG
rnacentral:rRNA from 1 species